rnacentral:misc_RNA from 1 species
AAGUCGUAACAAGGUAACCGUAGGUGAACCUGCGGUUGGAUCAUUAAUAAUUUGCAAUGGCGAAAGCCGUUUCGACAAAUUGUGAACUAGAACUGUCUUUUGGGCAAUAGCCCGCCAUUUACCCGAGUAUAACUAGCCAACGAACCAAAUUCAAUUAAAACAACUUUUGACAACGGAUCUCUUGGCUCUC